rnacentral:tRNA from 1 species
GCGGGUGUAGCUCAAUGGCUAGAGUUCGUGCCUUCCAAGCAUGUGAUGCGGGUUCGAUUCCCGUCACCCGCUCCA